rnacentral:rRNA from 1 species
UAGGGAAUCUUCCGCAAUGGACGCAAGUCUGACGGAGCAACGCCGCGUGAGUGAAGAAGGAUUUCGGUUCGUAAAACUCUGUUGUUAGAGAAGAACAGCGCAUAGAGUAACUGUUAUGCGUGUGACGGUAUCUAACCAGAAAGCCACGGCUAACUACGUGCCAGCCGCGGUAAUACGUAGGUGGCAAGCGUUGUCCGGAUUUAUUGGGCGUAAAGCGAGCGCAGGCGGUCAAUUAAGUCUGAUGUGAAAGCCCCCGGCUCAACCGGGGAGGGUCAUUGGAAACUGGUUGACUUGAGUGCAGAAGAGGAGAGUGGAAUUCCAUGUGUAGCGGUGAAAUGCGCAGAGAUAUGGAGGAACACCAGUGGCGAAGGCGACUUUCUGGUCUGUAACUGACGCUGAUGUGCGAAAGCGUGGGGAUCAAACAGG